GACAGAGGCCACAAGCGUUAGGCGGAAUCACUGGGCUUAAAGCGUGUGUAGGCGGGUCGUUAAGUGCCUUGUGAAAUCCCACGGCUCAACCGUGGAACUGCUGGGCAUACUGGCGAUCUUGAGCUGUCUAGGGGCGACUGGAACAAACGGUGGAGCGGUGAAAUGCGUAGAGAUCUGGAGGAAUACCGAUGGCGAAGGCAGCCAUCUGGCCUAACACUGACGCUGAGGUGCGAAAGCAUGGGGAGCAAACAGGG
rnacentral:rRNA from 1 species